AGCCUUGUAGAAGUCAAGACCACUUGCCUGCUUGCAACUGGGCUUCUGGUGGCUGCCCACGUUUUUGGCUUGUGACUGCAUCACUCCAAUCUCUGUGACCACAGGCCUUCUCUUGUGUCAUCACAUUGCCUUUUGCUUCCCUAUUAUAAGGACACACCUGACUAUAUCUGGAGUUCAUCCAGAUAAUCCAAGAUAAUCUCCCCAUCUCAUGAUUCUUAACCGUAUCUUCAGAAUCCUUUUUAACAUAUAAGAGAGCAUAUUUUGGAGUACCUGGCAUUCUAUGUCAUGAGAGAAUGAACCAGAAUGGGGCAUAUGCUUCUAUCCUGAAGAUGAGACUGCAGAACUGACUAUAUACACAGUCCUGUGUCA
rnacentral:lncRNA from 1 species